rnacentral:rRNA from 1 species
AGCUCCAAUAGCGUAUAUUAAAGUUGUUGCGGUUAAAAAGCUCGUAGUUGGAUUUCUGCCUGGGGCGACCGGUCCGCCCUCUGGGUGAGCAUCUGGUCUGGCUCGGGCAUCCUCUUGGGGAACGUGGCUGCACUUGAUUGUGUGGUGCGGUACCCAGGACUUUUACUUUGAGGAAAUUAGAGUGUUUCAAGCAGGCAGGCGCCUUGAAUACAUUAGCAUGGAAUAAUAAGAUAGGACCUCGUCCCUACCUUGUUGGUUCGUAGAGAUGGGGUAAUGAUUAAUAGGGAUAGUCGGGGGCAUUCGUACUUAACUGUCAGAGGUGAAAUUCUUGGAUUUGUUAAAGACGAACUACUGCGAAAGCAUUUGCCAAGGAUGUUUUCA